rnacentral:rRNA from 1 species
UACGAAGGGGGCUAGCGUUGCUCGGAAUUACUGGGCGUAAAGCGCACGUAGGCGGCUUUCUAAGUCGGAGGUGAAAUCCUGGAGCUCAACUCCAGAACUGCCUUCGAUACUGGAGCUUGAGUCCGGGAGAGGUGAGUGGAACUGCGAGUGUAGAGGUGAAAUUCGUAGAUAUUCGCAAGAACACCAGUGGCGAAGGCGGCUCACUGGCCCGGUACUGACGCUGAGGUGCGAAAGCG